CAAGAAACUGCCUGUUUAACAUGCAGGACAUAAUAUCGUCGCUGUCGGGCGGAAACCUCGAGAGCUUCGCAGCAUAUCCUCAAGAUUAAGAGUCGCAACGAAUCAACACGUCUUCUGAGAGAUUGUACCAGCUCUAGUUGUAGAAAGAUUUCAGAUCUUGUGAGAUGAGGCCAACCUUGUGGGGAUCCUGAGGCAGCUAGAAAUGUACCAGCUCCAGUUGGAUUCCACUUCAUGAGGAUUUCAACAACCUCCUCAUCAAUGCACAACUAUCAGACUGUAUCUGACUGUAGAA